rnacentral:rRNA from 1 species
UACGGGGGGGGGUAAGCGUUGUUCGGAAUUACUGGGCGUAAAGGGCUCGUAGGCGGCCAACUAAGUCAGACGUGAAAUCCCUCAGCUUAACUGGGGAACUGCGUCUGAUACUGGAUGGCUUGGAUCCGGAAGAGGGAUGCGGAAUUCCAGGUGUAGCGGUGAAAUGCGUAGAUAUCUGGAGGAACACCGGUGGCGAAGGCGGCAUCCUGGACCAAUAUUGACGCUGAGGAGCGAAAGCCAGGGGAGCAAACGGG